AGUGAACGCUGGCGGUAGGCCUAACACAUGCAAGUCGAACGGCAGCACAGGAGAGCUUGCUCUCUGGGUGGCGAGUGGCGGACGGGUGAGGAAUACAUCGGAAUCUACUCUGUCGUGGGGGAUAACGUAGGGAAACUUACGCUAAUACCGCAUACGACCUACGGGUGAACGCAGGGGACCUUCGGGCCUUGCGCGAUUGAAUGAGCCGAUGUCGGAUUAGCUAGUUGGCGGGGUAAAGGCCCACCAAGGCGACGAUCCGUAGCUUGUCUGGGAGGAUGAUCAGCCACACUGGAACUGAGACACGGUCCGGACUCCUACGGGAGGCAGAAGUGGGGAAUAUUGGACAAUGGGCGCAAGCCUGAUCCAGCCAUACCGCGUGGGUGAAGAAGGCCUUCGGGUUGUAAAGCCCUUUUGUUGGGAAAGAAAUCCAGCUGGCUAAUACCCGGUUGGGAUGACGGUACCCAAAGAAUAAGCACCGGCUAACUUCGUGCCAGCAGCCGCCGUAA
rnacentral:rRNA from 1 species